UGGUGGUGCAGGUGUCUCUGUUAGAAGGAUCUUGUAUGUCAUUUGAUCUCCACCCCCUCAAGUUUUUAAAACAGAGUUGACUGGACUCAGCUGAGUCUUGUUUCUUCUCAUUGAUCAUGAAAGCUGAAAUCACUGAUGAGCAGGUCUAAGGGGCUGAGCCAUAGAUGUGGUGUAGGGACAGUGUCACAGUGAAAGACAACACAGAAGAUGCAGCAGCAAUGCAGUUCCACACUAACUGGUGUAAUCACUAAAAGCUGAACUCACCCAGGACUGGGCGAACAACUGCAAACUCAGAACACAGUUUCACAGCUAAAGGUGGCAACAGCAGAGGCAACCCUGGUGAUACUGGCAGCAAAAAGCAGUGACAGCGACAAGGUUGCUCUAUUAUCCAUGAGGAGCCAAGAGCAAACCCAGGAGAUUCAUGCCAGGAUAAUGACAUAGAAGAUAAACCAUGAUGCUGUGGAUUGUUCAGAGACUUGAUUUAUUUACCUUGUUUCUCCACAUCCUUUAGAGGGUCAACCCCUGGGGACAGGAUAAAGAACAUUGGGGUUGCGGGUCCUGAUUCCUCAAAUGAUGUUGCAAAAUCUAGAGAUCUUCCAACCACGUAUUUACUUCCCAGCUUUUCUUCAACAAAAUCUCUGCCAGAAAAACAUUGCAAGACUGUUAAUAUUCAGAAAAGCCAGAAACACCCAGAGCGGACAGUAUAUUCCUAAGCCGAUGCACAAUCUAUUAAGUGUAUUUAUUGUAUCUUGCAAACUCUGAGAAAUAAGAAACUUCAUGAUAAACUGGAUGCAAAAUACAGAAUCCUAAUCAGGAUUUGUAGCUUACCAUUAGGAAUUGCUAUUUCAGUAGAAGUGUCCCUGCACAUGACAUAUGUUUUUGAAGCCCCUGUGUGACAAACAAACAGAAUGAGAGAAAAGAAGAGAUAACCAGCUAUGGCAGGGGCUUGUCAGGGCUGUUGUGGUGAGAGGGGUAUGCUGGAAGGUUCUGGUGACUGCUUGGAUCACAAACCUCUUUGAGACUGGAUGUGAACACACCAUCAAUUAACUGUCAGGAUUAGUUAAUCAGAAGCCCCCCAUUUGAGAUAAAAGGGGGUUGUGAACCCACUCAGGAGUUUGAAUGGAGUGGAGGAAGGGGUUUUGUGGGGUGGAAGGUAGACAGAACAGACAGAAACUGAGGACACACAGAACAGAGACUGGAAGGCAAAAAAGCAAGAAAGCCAAGCAGUAGCCUGUGAGCACACUGAUCCUGGGAAAAGCUAGAGCCUUUGGGUCUGUUGGCUAAGGAGGCUUGGGGCUGUACAUUGAGAAACAGCUCCUUUUGUUCCUGGUUCCUGCUGCUCCUGGGUUCAGAGAAGCAGGACUUCAUAAAUUUCUUGUAAAUAAACAAGAUGACAUCAAAGAAAUUACCAGCCUCCAUCAAUUUCUACUUCCACCUGGACAUCUCCAGGGUUCCAAAAUCUGAUUGGCUGCUUGGAUCAAAACAGUAUAGAACAUACAGAAUUGCAGAACAGGAAGUCAAAUAGAAUCCCCAUUUUCUGGAGUCCUUUACAAAGUUAGUAUUUUCAGCUGCCAUUUAUUUUCUCCCCUAUCUCA